ensembl:snoRNA small nucleolar SNORD12/SNORD106
UUUGUGGUUGAUGAUGGAGUUUUUUCCCCGUCUUAUCGACCAUGGAGAUACCUUCACGACUUAAGCCAGUGUUGUCUGAAAUCACAGC